GCCCCCGCCCCCGCCGCCACCAACAAGCACCGGCGCGCGGCGGACGAGGACAUCCGCGAGGAGGCGGCGCGGCACCGCGCCCCGGCCAACGACUUCUCCGCCUGGUACGAGCCCUUCCCCCCCGGCCCCGGCGGGUCCGGCACGGACGAGCGCUACUCCCUGGACGAGAUCGUGUACCGCUCCAGCUCCGGCGGCCUCCUCGACGUGCGCCACGACAUGGACGCCCUCGCGCGCUACCCGGGGUCCUACUGGCGGGACCUCUUCGACUCCCGCGUCGGCCGCACCGUCUGGCCCUACGGCUCCGGCGUCUGGUCCAAGAAGGAGUUCGUGCUCCCGGGGAUCGACCCGGACCACAUCGUCUCCCUCUUCGAGGGCAACUCCAACCUCUUCUGGGCCGAGCGCCUCGGCCGCGACCACCUCGCCGGCAUGAAGGACCUCUGGGUCAAGCACUGCGGCAUCUCCCACACGGGUUCCUUCAAGGACCUCGGCAUGACCGUGCUCGUCAGCCAGGUCAACCGCCUCCGCCGCGCCCCGCUCUCCCGCCCCAUCGCCGGCGUCGGCUGCGCCUCCACGGGGGACACCUCCGCCGCGCUCUCCGCCUACUGCGCGGCUGCCGGGAUCCCAGCCAUCGUCUUCCUCCCGGCCAACCGCAUCUCGCUCGAGCAGCUCAUCCAGCCCAUCGCCAACGGCGCCACCGUGCUCUCCCUCGACACGGACUUUGAUGGCUGUAUGCGGCUCAUCAGGGAGGUGACUGCCGAGCUGCCCAUUUACCUUGCCAAUUCGCUCAAUUCGCUCAGGCUGGAGGGGCAGAAGACGGCAGCCAUUGAGAUACUGCAGCAGUUCGAUUGGGAGGUCCCAGAUUGGGUCAUUGUACCGGGAGGCAAUCUUGGAAACAUAUAUGCUUUCUACAAGGGAUUCGAGAUGUGCCGUGUUCUUGGUCUCGUUGAUCGUCUGCCACGGCUUGUCUGCGCACAGGCCGCCAAUGCCAACCCGCUGUACCGCUACUACAAGUCAGGGUGGACACAAUUCCAGCCACAGGUGGCUGAGCCAACAUUUGCGUCGGCGAUUCAGAUCGGUGACCCUGUAUCGGUCGACCGUGCGGUGGUCGCACUCAAGGCAACAAAUGGCAUCGUCGCAGAGGCCACGGAGGAGGAGCUCAUGAAUGCAAUGUCCCUCGCAGACCGCACCGGCAUGUUUGCCUGCCCGCACACUGGGGUCGCGCUCGCGGCUCUCUUCAAGCUCCGGGAAGAGGGCACCAUCGGGGCAAAUGACCGCACAGUGGUCGUCAGCACGGCGCACGGCCUCAAGUUCUCCCAGUCCAAGAUAGACUACCAUGAUCAGAAGAUCGAAGACAUGGCCUGCAAGUACGCCAACCCGCCGGUCAGCGUCAAGGCUGACUUCGGCGCCGUCAUGGACGUCCUCAAGAAGAGACUCAAGGGUAAGCUUUGAGCAUGCCCUGCUGCUGCUGCUGCUGCUGCUGACCCCUCCGAUUGGCUACUGCGAUUCGAUUGUCUUGUGCAUCUGAUUCAAAUGUGAUUGGUUUGCUGUGUGGAGCAUCCGAACCCUUGAUUUGAAAUCUUGUAGGUGAGUGAGACUCUUGUAGGCGUCUGCGGGGAAUGGUUAGGGGGGUGGGGUUGAUUAUCGCUUGUACCGUGUUGUGUUCUAUGGAUAAUAAACGGUUGUGUUAUGUUGCUGUUCAUUGAAUAAUCAAUCAUUCAGUCUGUUUGCU
rnacentral:rRNA from 1 species